UAGGGAAUCUUCGGCAAUGGACGAAAGUCUGACCGAGCAACGCCGCGUGAGUGAAGAAGGUUUUCGGAUCGUAAAACUCUGUUGGUAGAGAAGAACGUUGGUGAGAGUGGAAAGCUCAUCAAGUGACGGUAACUACCCAGAAAGGGACGGCUAACUACGUGCCAGCAGCCGCGGUAAUACGUAGGUCCCGAGCGUUGUCCGGAUUUAUUGGGCGUAAAGCGAGCGCAGGUGGUUUAUUAAGUCUGGUGUAAAAGGCAGUGGCUCAACCAUUGUAUGCAUUGGAAACUGGUAGACUUGAGUGCAGGAGAGGAGAGUGGAAUUCCAUGUGUAGCGGUGAAAUGCGUAGAUAUAUGGAGGAACACCGGUGGCGAAAAGCGGCUCUCUGGCCUGUAACUGACACUGAGGCUCGAAAGCGUGGGGAGCAAACAGGAUUAGAUAGCCCUGGUAGUCC
rnacentral:rRNA from 1 species